rnacentral:rRNA from 1 species
UACGUAGGGUGCGAGCGUUGUCCGGAAUUACUGGGCGUAAAGAGCUCGUAGGUGGUUUGUCGCGUUUGUCCGUGAAAACUCACAACUCAAUUGUGGGCGUGCGGGCGAUACGGGCAGGCUGGAGUACUGCAGGGGAGACUGGAAUUCCUGGUGUAGCGGUGGAAUGCGCAGAUAUCAGGAGGAACACCGGUGGCGAAGGCGGGUCUCUGGGCAGUAACUGACGCUGAGGAGCGAAAGCGUGGGGAGCGAACAGG